UACGUAGGGUGCGAGCGUUGUCCGGAAUUAUUGGGCGUAAAGAGCUCGUAGGCGGUGUGUCGCGUCGGCCGUGAAAACCUGGGGCUUAACUCUGGGCGUGCGGUCGAUACGGGCAUCACUAGAGUUCGGCAGGGGAGACUGGAAUUCCUGGUGUAGCGGUGAAAUGCGCAGAUAUCAGGAGGAACACCGAUGGCGAAGGCAGGUCUCUGGGCAUUAACUGACGCUGAGGAGCGAAAGCAUGGGGAGCAAACAGG
rnacentral:rRNA from 1 species